CACCGCUUCUGUAAACACUUCACGUGGAGAAGACGUGAGCGUCGCCAUGUUUCACACUGACACGCAGACCAAACCAAUCGAUCACACAUUAUAUUCCGCUCAGGAGGACCAAUCGAUGUCAGAUAUCACACGAGUCUAAAACGCCACACUGAACGAGGUGGUGAGGUAUAAACUAUAGAUAUUCACUCGGCGUGUAUUUCAUUAAAUACACCUUUGUGGAUUUUAACGUCAUGUUUUACACUUUGGUGACCUUCAUGACAGGAACGGUAGUUACUCAUAACAGGUUAUAUCGAACACAGUCAUGGACUGUGUCUCCAGUUCACCUCACUUGCAUGUCUUUGGACUGUGGGAGGAAACCGGAGCACCCAGAGGAAACCCACACAGACACGGGGAGAACAUGCAAACUCCACACAGAAAGGACCCGGACCGCCCCAGGACCCUGGACCUUCUUGCUGUGAGUGACAGUGAUACCCACUUAGCCACCGUGCGGCCCCAGUUAUUAAGUGUAGCACAUUAGUUGCUCUGUAAAUGUUCAUUCAUUGUAAGAGUUCAGAAUUUCAGCUUUUAUAACCUGGUAUUUACAUCUGGAUGUUUUAAAUAAAAAGAACAUAGCACAUUUUAUAUCAAACCA